AUUCUGCAAUCCAAACUAUCAUUAAAGGCUUUAGGAUGUUUGAUGGUAGACUAUGCCAGUUGUGUGACAUAAGGAUUCAAGUCGAGAGGGAUUUCCAUCUGUUUAUUGAGAUAUCUGACUUGAAAAUGCGCAUGCUUGGAAGUCACCAACUCCAAAAUGCAGCUACUGCAACAUGUGCAGCACUGUGCGUCCGCAACCAAGGAUGGGGAAUUUCAGAUGGAUCUAUUA
rnacentral:misc_RNA from 1 species